rnacentral:misc_RNA from 1 species
UCCGGCGUGUUGUCGUCUUCCUCAUCUUCGGAGCUGUAGCCGUCGAAUCCGCCGCCCCCGGAGGCGUUGGAGUCGUCGGAGUCGUAGUCGGAGUCUGAUUCGGAGGAGGAGGACCAGGAUAAUUUCUCCGGUGUGUCAUUUUUCUCCUCCUCGGCAUCGUCGUCGGAGGCGACGGCGGCGUCGUCGGAGGUUACGGCGGCG